UACGUAGGGUGCAAGCGUUAAUCGGAAUUACUGGGCGUAAAGCGUGCGCAGGCGGUUAUGUAAGACAGAUGUGAAAUGCCCGGGCUUAACCUGGGAACUGCAUUUGUGACUGCAUGGCUAGAGUUUGGCAGAGGGGGGUGAGAAUUCCACGUGUAGCAGUGAAAUACCGUAGAUAUGUGGAGGAACGACCGAUGGCGCAAGGCGAGCCCCCGGGUCAAGA
rnacentral:rRNA from 1 species